rnacentral:rRNA from 1 species
GUCGAGAAUCUUUCACAAUGGGGGCAACCCUGAUGGAGCGACGCCGCGUGGAGGAUAAGGUCUUCGGAUUGUAAACUCCUGUCAUGCGUGAACAAGGUUGCUUGGUUAAUACCUGGGCAAAUUGAUGGUAACGCAAGAGGAAGAGACGGCUAACUCUGUGCCAGCAGCCGCGGUAAUACAGAGGUCUCAAGCGUUGUUCGGAAUCACUGGGCGUAAAGGGUGCGUAGGUGGCGUGGUAAGUCAGAUGUGAAAGCCCGGGGCUCAACCUCGGAACUGCGUCCGAUACUGCCAUGCUAGAGUACGGGAGAGGUGACUAGAAUUCUCGGUGUAGCAGUGAAAUGCGUAGAUAUCGAGAGGAAUACCAAAGGCGUAGGCAGGUCACUGGACAGUUACUGACACUGAGGCACGAAGGCCAGGGGAGCGAACGGGAUUAGAUACCCGUGUAGUCC